rnacentral:rRNA from 1 species
CCUACGGGUGACAGCAGUGAGGACUAUUGGUCAAUGGACGAGAGUCUGAACCAGCCAAGUAGCGUGAAGGAUGACUGCCCUAUGGGUUGUAAACUUCUUUUAUAUGGGAAUAAAAUGUUCCACGUGUGGGAUUUUGUAUGUACCAUAUGAAUAAUGAUCGGCUAACUCCGUGCCAGCAGCCGCGGUAAUACGGAGGAUCCGAGCGUUAUCCGGAUUUAUUGGGUUUAAAGGGAGCGUAGGUGGAUUGUUAAGGCUGUUGUGAAAGGUUUGGGCUCAACCGUAAAAUUGCAGUUGAAACUGGCGGUCUUGAGUACAGGAGAAGUAGGCGGAAUUCGUGGUGUAGCGGUGAAAUGCUUAGAUAUCACGAAGAACUCCGAUUGCGAAGGCAGCUCACUGGACUGCAACUGACACUGAGGCUCGAAAGUGUGGGUAUCAAACAGGAUUAGAUACCCUUGUAGUC